UUCUGAGAGCUUUGUUACAGAUAGCACAAAAAUCAUUUUGUUGUUGUGGUUUCAGUGGUUCUGAGAAGCAGCACCAGCGCAGCCUGAGCAUGGUUUUCACCACGGACAACAGCCCAGGCUCUAAAGCUCACCAUGUGCACACUUGGAUGACUAGGUCACUGCUUUCUGGAAGAAGCAGAGUCAACAUAACUAUGCCUUUGUCAUUGAGUCAUGCCAGCUCUUGCAAGUAAUGCUGAACAAAAAUAAUUCUCUGGUUACUCUGCCUGCACUUUUAUCAGUGGAUAACGUUACUGUUUGUGUUUAAGUCUGUCUCUCCUUUCGUGUGCAUGUGCCACUUAGCAGGACAGACAAGUUUACAUAAAUAAGUUCCACAAAUCAUUUAGGAAAUGUGUAGGGAGAUGCAGAACUGCAGACCUAACUUCUGAAAGUUGGUUAGAUUUUAAGCUAGCUCUUCCAUCUCAACAGAUGCUCAGAACAGUGACUGUUCUUUAUUGCUACAAUACACCAUCUUGGGAUAACACAGAAACUAGUCUGGAAAUUUGACAUAUUUCAUGUGGAUUUGCUACUUCAUGUAAGACAAUGCUUAUGACAGUUACAUCUGCAAAGAACACAGCAUCAUUCAUGUCCCUUGCUACUCUUAUAGGUAAAUGUGGUACAUUUGGAAGAGUUAAGUUAAUCUUCAGAAUCAUGGAUCUAUAGAAAUUAUGAAAAUGAUGCUAGUAGAAAGUCUGGCCUCAUCCCUGGCUGCUCAGACAAUCACUCCAUAUUUUUCCCAGGG
rnacentral:lncRNA from 12 species